rnacentral:lncRNA from 1 species
UUACAACUCACCUUCUGCCCUCAGGGAGCUUUCGUCUGGGGAUCUGUGGUUACAGAAGAAAAAAAAAAGCAUAAGUAGGGUUCACAGUGUGGUCAUUUCUGUCCAGGGAAAACAAAUGAGAGACGAUAGGAUGUUAACCAUACUGCUGAGCCUUUACCAGGAACUCAGGGCAGAACUCUGUGGGCACAGGGAAGAGAAUUUGCCAAGUACCUGCAUCUGUGACGUGACAAAGUAUACUUAAAGAACUGUGUGCUAGUUCUGAAGACAGAAACCUGUCCGAUGAGGAGUAGGAGGUGUGCUGGGAUACCAGAUGGCCCGGAUACCAAAAAGCAUUACAUGCCUCACAGGCAUUUAAAGUAAAAGGAAGAACACAAGCUGCUCUUGCACAGAACAGAAGCUUCACUGUCUAGCUGAUGUCUUAGUGGGUGAGGAGUUGUGGAGAAGGAUGAUCACGACAGCCUCCCAGUGUUAAAAACUGACAUCUCAGGAAAGGAGAAGCAAGUGGCUCCACAUUUUCACCUUCAAAC